rnacentral:rRNA from 1 species
AUUGAACGCUGGCGGCAUGCCUAACACAUGCAAGUCGAACGGUAACGCGAGGAGCUUGCUCCUUGGCGACGAGUGGCGGACGGGUGAGUAAUACUUGGGAAUCUGCCCAGUAGUGGGGACAACAUUCGGAAACGGAUGCUAAUACCGCAUACGCACUACGGUGGAAAGUGGGGGACCUUCGGGCCUCACGCUAUUGGAUGAGCCCAAGUCGGAUUAGCUAGUUGGUGAGGUAAUGGCUCACCAAGGCGACGAUCCGUAGCUGGUCUGAGAGGACGAUCAGCCACACUGGGACUGAGACACGGCCCAGACUCCUACGGGAGGCAGCAGUGGGGAAUAUUGGACAAUGGGCGCAAGCCUGAUCCAGCAAUGCCGCGUGUGUGAAGAAGGCCUGCGGGUUGUAAAGCACUUUCAGUAGAGAAGAAAAGCCUACGGUUAAUACCCGUGAGUCUUGACGUAACCUACAGAAGAAGCACCGGCUAACUCCGUG